rnacentral:rRNA from 1 species
AUUGAACGCUGGCGGCAUGCCUUACACAUGCAAGUCGAACGGAUUUGAGGGGCUUGCCCCUCGAGUUAGUGGCGAACGGGUGAGUAAAGCAUCGGAACGUACCCAGUCGUGGGGGAUAACGUAGCGAAAGUUACGCUAAUACCGCAUACGAUCUGAGGAUGAAAGCAGGGGAUCGCAAGACCUUGCGCGACUGGAGCGGCCGAUGUCGGAUUAGCUAGUUGGUGGGGUAAAGGCCUACCAAGGCGACGAUCCGUAGCUGGUCUGAGAGGAUGAUCAGCCACACUGGGACUGAGACACGGCCCAGACACCUACGGGAGGCAGCAGUGGGGAAUUUUGGACAAUGGGCGAAAGCCUGAUCCAGCCAUGCCGCGUGAGUGAAGAAGGCCUUCGGGUUGUAAACCCCUUUCAGGAGGGAAGAUGGGACGGGCAACCGUUCGGACGGUACCUUCAGAAGCAGCCACGGCUAACUCUGUGCCAGCAGCCGCGGUAAUAC